GACGAACGCUGGCGGCGUGCCUAAUACAUGCAAGUAGAACGCUGAAGGAGGAGCUUGCUCUUCUGGAUGAGUUGCGAACGGGUGAGUAACGCGUAGGUAACCUGCCUGGUAGCGGGGGAUAACUAUUGGAAACGAUAGCUAAUACCGCAUAACAGUAGAUGUUGCAUGACAUUUACUUAAAAGGUGCAAUUGCAUCACUACCAGAUGGACCUGCGUUGUAUUAGCUAGUUGGUGGGGUAACGGCUCACCAAGGCGACGAUACAUAGCCGACCUGAGAGGGUGAUCGGCCACACUGGGACUGAGACACGGCCCAGACUCCUACGGGAGGCAGCAGUAGGGAAUCUUCGGCAAUGGACGGAAGUCUGACCGAGCAACGCCGCGUGAGUGAAGAAGGUUUUCGGAUCGUAAAGCUCUGUUGUAAGGGAAGAACGAGUGUGAGAGUGGAAAGUUCACACUGUGACGGUAUCGUACCAGAAAGGGACGGCUAACUACGU
rnacentral:rRNA from 1 species